rnacentral:tRNA from 1 species
GGAGGGUUGUCAGAGCGGCCGAAUGAGAUGGUCUUGAAAACCAUUGUGCGGUAGCCCCGUACCGCGGGUUCGAAUCCCGCACCCUCCG